CAGGGGAGGAACUGCUCUUCUCUACAUGGUCCCUGCCACUCUCAAGGCCAGACUUCAGGAGAUGAGAGUAUCCAUGAAAAUAGGAACAGGCCAAUGGGAGGAGCAGGAGUGAUUCCUAUGUGAAUUCCUGAGCAAACUGAAGGGGAAGCAACAGCCUUUUUGUAGCUGCCAGUCACUGAGGCUGGGUCAUCUCCUUAGCAUAUGACAGUGACCACAUUGCAGUGGCUGCACCUUUCGUCUCCCUUCAGUUUCUGACUCCUGUGCCAGCUUUUUCCCAAGGCACUCAUUUCACAUCAGAUGAAGCGGUGCAACACGCUCGUGCCCAUGAAUUCACUGAUCAGGCCAUGUUCUUCAACAUUCUGAAGCAUCCGGCUCGAAUGAACAGACUAGCAGCCUCUUGAAGACUCAGUUGCUCUGGCAGCCACAUGGCAACCCCUUUCAGGACACGUUCUUUGCUCUAAACACAUGUGCACUACGUGGCACUGUUUCUCCCAUAGCUGGCAUUCCUGCGUCCAGGAAUCAGGGACUGUAAUUGGGAGCAUUUCCCCACUGAUAAACCUGGAGAC